AUGAGGAGGCAGGUCCUUCGAAUUCAAAUGCCGAACAAAAAUCAUGGAAGUUUCUGUGGAAAACAGCUGUACUGGGGAAGGUGCACAUGGGCUCUUGCUGAUGAUGAGCUACUACAUAAAAUGUCAACCAACACUGAACCUAGUGCAAAGACGUGGCUUUUUAAUCUGAUGGAUGUGUUGUCCCAUGAUCAGUAUGUGCAGCUGUCAGUAACGCUCUGGGCGCUUUGGUCGGCUCGCCGCAAAGCUAUACACGAAGGAAUCUUCCAGAGUCAUCAGUCCAUACAUGCUUUCAUCAAUAGCUUCAUCAGCGAGCUAAACUUGAUCAGGGAGAACCAACCUAUACGUGCGCACCUGGGCGGACCAAGGGCCACCCAUCCUCUCCGACCCAAAGCACCACCUGCUGGUUUUGCGAAAAUCCAUGUUGAUGCGGCAUUUCUAAAAGGAAGAGGGGGAGCUGCAGCGGCUGUUUGUCGAGACAGCCUAGGCAACUUCCUGGGAAGUUCGACAUUGGUUAUACAGGGAGUUGAUGAUCCCUCUACUCUGGAGACCAUAGCCUGA
rnacentral:rRNA from 1 species